GGGCAACUUUGCCUCUGAACAGGUUUUGAUAAAUCUCCCCCUAUAUAAUUAGAAAAAAAGAGAGGCGACUAGGGGCUGUCCCACCUGAGGGACCCAACCUGAGCGUAGUAACUCUGACUUUGGGGACCACCACACUAGGGUCCAACGUUGGAGCAGCGAUAACCUGCAAGGAGGGCUCCUGGGCUGGAGAAUGAGAACCCUCUAUAUUCAAGGUCCACGUUUUACUUUCCUCUUCAGAUAAGCUCUGUUUGUAAGGCUCUACGUAAAUCCUGCGUACAUUUGUUUUUGACUCACCGUACUUGGAUUUACUAUCUUCUGGCAAACUUGCAGUAUGAGGGUUAUGAUGAAGAGAGAACGGUAUUCGGGAUUAUGCCACUUUCUUUAAAUAGAGAAGGUGCCUGGAGCCACGUGCCUUCGUAUGACUGACAUUUUAGGGCCAGGAACGGCUAUUGAGAGCUAAGAGCACCUCUGUCACAGGCAAUGAGGGGGGUGACAAUCGGAGAGUUGUAUUUGCCUUCAGGAACAGCCCUUUGAAUUCUACGAUAACGGCAGCCAUAUUCAGUAACUGGCAUUUGUUACUUUCUGACCCUGACCUAAGUGAUACAGUGAAGAGCAGACCCAUUGUUACUUUUAGGAAAAAUGUCACUAUCCAAGAUUUUCUACAGAAAACAUCCAAACAACAUAAAAGAGAUCGGAGGCAAGAAUCCUGG